CUGGGCACCCUGUGCCAGGGCCUGCCCACCCUCCCAGGGAAGGAUUUCUCCUGUCUAUCUAAUCUAAAUCCAUUGGCCCUUCAGUUUAAGGCCAUUGCCCCUUUAUCUCCUGUUAGUGUUCCCAGCACAGCCCUCUGGAGUCACACAGGAAUGGGAGGUGCUGGAUGAGGACAGCUUCCAUUUCCCAAGCAGCGUUUCUCUGCCUGACAGUGCCUUGCUUCCCUGUUGUUCCCCUUCAGCUUUUCUGUAGCUAAUUCAGAGCUGUUUGAAUUCCUGGUUCUGCUCUUGCUGCCAUGGUUGCUGGUGCUCGACUGCCUGGCUCUGUUCCCUCUCCCAGGUAAAAGGUACAAAAGCACAGGGAGUGAACACAACUGGGAUCUUGGGAUGGACCCACUGACCCCUGGCUUCCCCAUGCUUCCUGGAGGGCCUCCCACAGCCCUGCUGGAUGCUUCCCCGGGAAGAUGGGCCUGAGAGGUUAAUGAGAAGUUGUUCUCCAUGUCAGGCUCCUUCCUGCUUUGCUGUAGGGUCUCCAAAGGGUGGCAUGUAUUUCAUUUCUGCCUCCUUCUUCCUCCUGAUCAGCCCCUCUCCAGGUGUUUGGCACUUGCCAGCCCUCUGGCAUCCCUACUCCUGCCCAGCUUAACCUGCAGGAAAGGGGCUCUUGGGAAUAUUGCAGGUGGAACAGUCAGGAGGAAGGUCAGCACCCUCCUGCACUAUCUCCCAUGGAUUUAUGGCUUCCCAGCUCCUCCAGGAAUGCCCUGACCUAAUCCAGAGAGCUGCUCCGUGUCACAGCCCCGGUGCUGAGCUGGCACUGCCAGCGCCUUUCCCAGCAGUGGAGAGGGCAGCUUGGCACUGGCACUGGGAUGAUGGAUGGGAGCUCCUGCAGGGAAGAGCUUGGUCUUGGAGCUCCUGGAGGCUCUCCAAGCCUGGCUUUGCAGUUGGCCAAGUGCUUCACUUGUUUUGAUGCUUUUCCUGUCUUUGGGCCGUUUGCUGCGUUUAUUUUGGGGGGAAGGUCAGCACUCUCAGCUGAUGCCGGGAGAACGCUCUGGGAGAGAAGCAUCCCUGGAGACAGCCCUCCUUUCAGCAGCACAUGGCAAAGCUCUGAGAUUUCCCGUUCAGUGGGAGGCACGGGAGAUAUUUUGGACUGCAAGCUGUGGCUUUAAAAAAACCCACCAGUAGUGGUUUGAGGUUUUCUUCUUGAAGCCUUCCUGACUUUGAACAUCAAUUGCUCCUGUUUUGGUAAGCAGGCUCCCAGCAAGCCAGACCCGUUCCUGGGAUUAUUGUGACCGCAGGUAUAGCUGUUCCUUUUCCAUAUGGGAUGACUUAGGCCCCUGUUCCCUGCCAUCGUGUGGUUGGAUUUCACCUUCCUCCAUGUCGUGGCAUUUCAGAAAGAGCUGCUUGUUUUACAGAGCAGCUGUGUUGUCUUAAUGCAGCUGUAACGUGUGUUUGUCUUGGGGUACAGCAGGACUAGGAAGAGGUUUUAUUAGAUCAUUCCCAAGUCCCAGUAAUCUCCGAGUCUCUCUCGGAUCUGUGGCUGUCAGCUGCGCUGCUCUCGCUCCGUGGGACGGGGUUGGAAGCUGAAGAUGGGAAAUCACUUGUGUGUGAUCCUCUAUCUGCCUCGUCUCGGAGUUACUGCUCCCCUCCUGGCUGCUCGCAGCAGCCAGAGAGGACUUAGUCCUUGUACCCCAGACCUUAAACCACAGCUUAAGAGCCUCCAGGGGAUCCUCCCUGCCUGGGGCAUUGUUUGUGGGACUGCUGGUGGCACUGCAGCCUGGAUCCCAAGGAGCGUUCCCAUCCCACCACCACUGACUGCCAGCAUCGGGAUCACGGCCACCCAGCAGCUGGAUGUCAUGGAGCUGGACACACACCAGGGAGCCGACUUGCUUCUGACACCGAGUUCAGUCUCCAAACAUAAAAGAAGAGAAAGUCAGGACAGAAAGGCAUUGGAGCUUUCUUCUUCCUCCACACCUGCUGUUCCCGCUUGUCAGGCACUUCCAAAGAGGAGAGUUCUCCAAGUUCCCAGUCAUUACCCUUUACAUAAGCAUAAUAUAGUGCUGCACUUCCUACAGGGAAGCUAUCUAUUGUAGCAAUCUGUAAAACAAAAGCUGGAUUGCUCCUUCUCCCAUUGCUUCCAGAAUCAAAAAGCUGCCCGCUGUUCCUCAAAUGGGAAGGCUGAAAGCCUUCAUCAGAGGGUGGCUCAUUUUUACACGACAUUUUUACACUCAAGCAAAACUGAAAGCAAGGCAUAAUUUGGAACAGCCAUGCUCGCCGUUAGAGCAGAACCACACAAAUAAAAAGCCUGGGAUGAUGGAGUUGAAUACGCUGCAGUCAGAGAAAUGACAGUUUGCAGGGAACAAGGAAAACUAGAUGGAUGAAUGGGAAUUAGUGAGGAGCAGACUUUGAAGGCAGGCAAAUCAAAUUGAAAGCGUGGAUCAUUAGAUUCAAAGGAAGCAGGUAAGGAGUGCACUAAAUUGUGCCUUAAACAACAAACCAAGGGCCUCAGCCUCCAGGGAGAGUGGAUGGAGCAGGGGCUCGGGAUAUGGGAGUGGCUGCCAGGUGUGCCCUGGCCACUGGGCACUGUGACCUCGCCCAGGUCGCCGGGUGUCCUUUGCAUCAGCUUCUGUGCUGUGGGGCACGGCAGGCACUGGACAUAAAGGAUGCUUGGUAAGGGCUGCAGAUGUGCCCAGCUCCAGAGGAGCCAGCUGAAGGCUUUCUGGGUGGACUGUCCUGGCACCUGGCACCUUCCAGGCCUGGAGCUGGUUCUUUGCUUGUUUUUUUUCCCCAAAAGGUGAAGGGAUGUACAAGGGGAGAAAUGACUGAGUUGCUGAAUUUUUAAAAAUUAACUGUGCAUGAUUAUACCCAAGAAAGUGGGGUGGCAGAAAUACUGCCACAUACAGCAGCUUCACGUACAGCAGCUCUUUGCAGAUGGGAGAAAAUGUGGCGUGGUUUGGAUGUGCCUGGGAACAGCUGAGCUGGGGGAAUUUGUGUAUUUUUAAAAUGAAGCUCAUGUUUUUCUUGGACAAACUUUCAGGUCACUGUAACACAGAACUGAAGGUCACAGUUCUUAAGAAGAUUAUGAAAUGCCCCAGAUGCUCAGCGUGAUAGUCUAGACAAGGCAGCUGAGGGAGAGAUGCUGAAGGAAGUUCCUUGGAUUGGUACAGGAAAGAAAAGCCCUCAGGAUGGACACCUUCCACACAGAGCUUCCCUUCGGUGCUCCUGCCUGGUCCCAGCUGAGUCCUGCUCAAGGAUACAACUCAUGGUCACAGGCAAACCACUCCAUGGGAAUCCCAUCUGGCUGGUUCCCCCAUUUCAGCUGAGGUGGAGGUCUCGCUGGAUCCCACAGAGAGAUCCAGUUGGGCUCAGCGGCAGCUUGUGCAGAUAAGGAGCUUCUGGCAAAAUGGUUAAUAUCAAUCUAGAACUGAAUGAGUGAUUUACGACGAAGGCGCUGUGUGAAACCAAAGACGCACCAGAUGAAUCUGGGACUUCAAGAGCACGGAGAAAAAUCUGAGCAGGGUGAAGCUCUUCUGUAGGUAGGAAAAGUGCAUGGGGAGAAGCCCAUGGGAGUGUGUCUUUCCUUGGUCUUUAGACCCUCAAGGCUCUGGUGAAAUACAUGCAGGUCAGCUUCCAAGUGGCUUAAGGGCUUUGCUUCGCCAUCCAGGCUUAACAAAGGUGGCACAUGGGGUACAGCAAUACCCCCAGCACCCCAACAGACACACACACACGUGUUUGAUCUGUUGGGGUGGCAGGGGAUGCAGCCCGAUCUCCACGGCAUCCUGAGCGGAUGCUGCUACCCGGCUCUCCUCAGCAUCGCUGUUCCUGCCUUCCACGCUGUCAGCUUUCUGCACACCUCAGGACCUUUAAGCCCGGAGUUGUUCCUCCCACCUCCCACUGCUGGAGGCAGGCACAAAGCCUUGCUGGCUUUCCACUCAGGUGUGCUCUUUGCUCAGCUGGUUCUCCUCUUCUUUCCCACCUAUUUCCUUAGAAUUUCUUCUUCCCACAGAGCUUGGACACCUGGGCUCAGCUACAGCUCAGAGCUCCUGUCCUCCCUCGUCCACGUGUGCUGAGGAGGAAAGGAGGCUGUAACAGCUGCUUUAAUUUGCUCAGGUCUCCCUUCAGCUGCUGCCUCACAGCUCCAAGGGCUCCCUCCUCAAUCCAAACUAACCGCUUUUUGGCCACGACUCCAGAUCUAUUCCGGAUCUUAUUUCCCAUGUGCUCUGUGUAAUGCUUUGUCUCUGGACAAUUUUUCCUUUUAAUUUUGCAGUGAAAAUUACCCAGGCUGGCUGAAAGAAGUGUUUCAGAGCUGACUUGCUGAUAGCAAGCCAGAGCUGAGGGCUGCCUUAUAGAGACGUUUUCUUCAGGAAUAAUCAGCCCGAAGCCGGUCUCGGAGGAGGGUCGCAGAUGAGAGCUAUCAAUGGAGGGGUUUAUGGAACACAAGGCUUGCACUCCAAUUUCAAUGCAGAUAAAAACUGCCAAGUGAAGUGGAUCCUUCCCUCGUCACUUCGGCAGAGAGAGAUUUUAUUAACACCAAUCGCAUGGAAACAGGGGGCGGCCACGGUGCCCCCACGGAGAUAAAAAGACAUUAAUGCACUUAGGCUGUGACAGCAGAGAGCAGCUGGGUUUGGUUUAUGUUCCUCUGGACUCCAGGGGGACUUUGGGGCUGAGUUCAAUGGCUGAUCCCUCCAGCAGAAAUACUGGGUGGAAAGGCUGGGAAGGAGCAGGAGCAGCCCGGGAGGAUGCAGAGUGUGGGUGGCAAGGUCUUGAGUGGCCCCAGCUCUGCAACAGUGUGGGUAAGGUGUGAGACCUCAGGAUCGCUGGAAAUGGGAUGUUGAGUCUGAGGAUGGACAGGUGAUCACGGGGAAAUCCUGCCCAGAUGCUGUGGUGGCUGGGUGCUGUCAUCCCAAAGCCUUGGAAGUGUGCGUGGGGCUGUUCCUACUGCUCACCCACCAGAGCUCCAGUCACGGCCACGGGUUGUGUAUCCUGGUUUUCUCUUUCCAACAGAGCCAUUUGCACUGUCUCACGUUACUGCUGGACCUGGAGCUGAGCUUUAGCCUGACCCACACAGUGGGUAUGGGAAGCUUUGGGAAAGGAUUGUCCUUGAUGUGGGACACACAUCCGCAUCCCGCUCUGGAGUCCUGCACCCAUUGCAAUUCCUCUCACAAGAUCCCUGAGCAGGAGAAGGACUGUGGCCCAUUUCCAAGGACUGUGGCCCAUUUCCCAGCCCCGUGCCCCGGUCCUCCACAGGGUGUGGUGCUGCUGAGGCUUCCCAUUGCCAGCUCAAUCCCAAGCUCCCCUCAUUCCAUGGGCCAGGGUUGUUGGAAAGGCCGGGAUUUUAAAGCCCCGCUGCAUGCACCACUCCCGCCUGGCACAGCCAGCUCCGGUGGUGGAUGGAUGGAGGGAUGGAGGGAGGGAUGGAUGGGUGGAUGGAUGGGUGGAUGGAUGGGUGGGUGGAUGGAUGGAUGGAUGGAUGGAUGGAUGGAUGGAUGGAGCUCCCAGUCCUGGGCAGGAAUUGGACAACACCCCCUGGGUGGCUGCCUGAUCGAUCAGCACAUCUCCUUCAAUCAAACAGACUAUCCUGACGAGCCUACCGCCAGUUCCUGGCACUUUGGAGCUCCCCGAUGCUGCUGAUGGGGGUGGGAGCUGCUGCUGGAAAAGCUUUCUCCUUCUUGGUCAUCUAAUUUGGAGCUUUCCAAUAAAUAGGCUGCUCAACAUUUUUUGAUAUAAAGGUCAACCUCCUCUGGUAGACUUGAGGAUUGUAAGGUAAGUGGAGGAAAUGGCACGGGUAGGCUGAUUUGAUAAUGAUCCUAAUCCUGUGUCUGAUCUCUGAUAAUGAUGGCAACCCCAUCAAUGUAUGCUCAUAUCACUGCAAAUGGGGCUCGGAUCAUUUUUGGCAGAACUGAUGCCUCUUAUCACAGAGCGGCUUUGCUGGAGACUUGAACUUGUGUGAGAGCUGCCACACAGAAUGCAGAAAAGGAAGCUUAAAUUGUUUUCAGGAAAAAAAUCAAUCAGAGCAAGUGUUUUUGGCUAAAUAAGGUCUCGGUCUCCUGAGUCAGCUUUCCCAAAGCUGUUGGUGUUUGCUGAUGAAUUAUUGUGGGGAUGAGCACACAGCUGACACACCAGCCAAAGUGCAGUUAUGGGUGGAGACUCAUUUCAGAAAACACCUUUAAAUUCCACAAAUCCUUUUAGUCAGGCAGACGAGGCAGACUGCCCUUUUUUUCUGGUGCUACUGAGGAAGCUGUGGGGUUUGGGAAGCUCUGUGCUUUGGGAAAGGUGAGAAGUGGUUUAGCACAGGGAUUCCCUGCAUCCUUCCAGGCUGUGGAGAAUAGAUUUUGAAGCACCUUCCAUACUGUGCAUGUUGGAGAUGUUUUCUGGCCAUUGUGUGGCUUUUUAGAAGUGCUGAAGGGAGAGCAGAAGGAGGUUUGGGAGGGAGUUCUGCCUCUGUAGACCCUGGCAGUGCUAUGUCAGUGGUCUUUGCGCAGCACACACAGGGCUGAUGUCCAGAGAGAAGUCCAGAUCCACAGUACACUUGGAAUUCCAUGGAGGACUCUCACAGCAGAACUCUGCAGCAUCCAGGGCUGUCUGGGGAGAUCAGAGCUGCCAGGGCCUGGUUUCCAGCGUGCCCUUUUGCUUUGCUGUCUCUUGUGAAUGCCACUUAAAGUUUUCCCAAGUUCGGGGGAAGUUCAUUACAUGCUCCUCUUUUCCUGAAGGACCCCAAUUCCUGGAUAACAUUUUGCUCCCAGAUUUCUGGUUUCUAAUCUGCUAUAUGGCCCCAACCCUCAGGGAGCCACAGACCCACGGAACUUGGAUUUCUCUUGUCCCCUUGAAAUGCCUGGUUGUUUUUUGACUCCGGAGCUCUCCGUGUGACAUUCUCCUGACAAGGCUCACGUGGGGCUGCUUUCCCCUCGGCACAACUUGUCUCUGGGGGUUGUCAUACACCUCCCACGGUCCCACAGCCUUUUUCUCUUUGGCCUCUGAGCUCCGGCAGGCCUGUGCUGAGAGCUGAUUGCCAUCUCUCCUCAGGUGGAUCACUUAUUGCUGUGUAACUGGCUCAAGCCAUGGGGCUGGAGAUGUUGGAUUCCUUCGAUAAGGUGCCAGUGUGACACUCUGAUAUCCGAGCCAAAGCACUGAGUAAAUGCCUUUCCCAUCUCCCACCAUGGUAGACUCCCAAAUCCCAGUAGAAGCAGCUUCCAGCUAUUACUCAGCUGUUUGCCAGCAGGAAUUAUCUGCCCCAGCAGGAGAUAGUUUGUGUUCUGUGUUUGUUAGGCUCCUGCUAUCGCUCGCUCCUGGCAGAGAGAGGCAUAAAACUCCUUCCAGGUGGCAUUUGCAGAAAAAAAUCAAUUGUUUAUCAACAUCCCGGCAAUCAAUAAAUGCAGUGAUAGGUGCAACUGUCUCUAUUGGGGCUGAACCUUGAUUGCUGAGAGGCCAGAUUCGAUGCUAAAUCCACCCGGGGCCUGACUCUGGGCUGCAGCUGUGAGGCCAAGGCCUGGGGCCAGAUCCUUGGGGAGUUUCCUGGUGCUGUGCUGAGCCCUUCCCCUCCUCGGGAUGCUGGUGCUGCUUGCUCUGCACUCAUUCUGCUGCUGGAGAGCGCUCUGGAGCUGUUCAUGCACGUGUAGUCCCUCAGAGGCAGGCAAGGCCCGCUCUCUGGGCGCUCCUACCCCAAGUUUCAGCGAGGAGAUGAACCACAGCACAAGGUGCUCACCCCAGAGGAAUUCACCACUGUUUUGAAGGCUUAAGUGUCUGUUUGUCCACCUUCACCAAGCCUUUUUCUGAAGAACCCUGUAUUAUAUUUUGUUCCCAGAUUCUCUCAGCAUCCGGCCUUGGUGCUGGAGAAGAUGGGCCUGGAGGAAGAUCUCUCACAGGGUUUAGGCGUUCCUGCUGUGCCUGGUGAUAAACUUGCUUUCUGGUGAAAAGGCCAGCUUGGAGUAACCUGGUCUAGUGGCAGGUGUUCCUGCCUUUGGGAAUUGGAUGAUCUUUAAGGACCUUUCCAACCCAAGCCUUUCCAUGACUUUGUGGUGAGCGUCUCCAGACACCCAUCUCCUUCCUUCUGUGCCACCCCUGCCCAGCUGGUGCCUUUCCCCAGGAUGCCCGCAGCCUUUCCCUCUUGCUUGAAGCUGUUACUUUGAUGCCUCAUUAAAUGAGACAGCUUAAAGAUGUCCCUAUCUGCAGAGCACUCCUGAGCCUGAGCUUUCCCAGAGCCAGAGUUCUUCCUGAGCCAGGCUCCAGGAGCAUUUGGACAACGCUCUCAGGGACAGGAUGGGAUUGUUGGGGUAUCUGUGCAGGGGCCGGGAGCUGAGGGCUGGAUAACGCUUGUGGGUCCCUUCCAACUCAGGAGACUGACUCUGUGAUCCAGAUUUGAGGUGUCCAUGUGGCCAAGGUAUCCCAUCACAAAGAAAUAUGGAUAGGAAUGGAAGAGUUAACGUCAGCAGCUCCCAGACACACUGGAGAGUUACAUCACGUUGCUGUGGAAACUAACUUUGUGAAAGCACAGUGAUGUAUGGGAAAGCUUUGGGUCAGCGGGUAAUAAAUUCUGUUUAAAAGGGAUUUUUCCCCCCCAUCUGCUGAUGUAAACAUCAUUAAGAGAAAUGAUGGCUGAGAGAUGGAUUUCUUUUUAUACCAAUUUUCAGACAAAGAAAAUAAUUUUUUUUUUAUAAUAAAAAAGUUGCUGGAAAUCAGAGAGUGCUAUAAAUAAUGAAAUAAAGAAAAAGCACCGGUGAUGGAACAGAAAUUUUCCCUGGUGAUUGGUUUACAGCUCUCUGUGAUUUAAUGGGAACUUGCAGUUGCCUGUGGGAAGCUGCAGCAAAGCCCUGGAUGGGCUCCCUAAGAUGACACUUUUCAAAUUGCACCAUGAAUCCCAAACUUGGAUGGCUUGGGAGCAUCCUCGUCCUGGAAGUCCUCUCUCUUCUGCAUUUCCCAUUGAGGGACAAGUUUCCAACCUGCCAUGUUGUCAUUGGGAUUCUCGUGAAGGCGUGGGGGUUUUGGGUUUAUUUUCCACCCUUUGGGAUGCAGGAGGGUCUGAGGUGAGGCAGCAGAAGUUCCUCAGCUUACCCAGAGCAGUGUGACAGUCCCAGCCAAGGGCAAGGGUGCCACUGGGAAUGCAGACAAGGGUGUCACUGUGAUGAAUGGGGUAAUUAAUAAGCAAUUAAUGUGCUUCGGAGCAUGGCUCAAGCUUUUCUCCCAGCCAGACACCCAGCACUGAUCUGCUUUCUCUGGUGAUCUGGGCUCGGAGCAGCUCGGAAUGAUGGAGAUGAUGCUUCCAGAGCUCUUCUUGAUGCCGCCAGGAUGCAGCUCUGCACUGGCACAGCAGGGAGUCUGCUUCAGAGGGAAGGAAAUUCCAGGGUUCGUUUUUCACUAAUUGAUAGGAUUUGAAAGGAUUCUGUGGAUUGUCCUUGAAAUGAGUGCUCUGAAAUGUCCUCCUUUGGCAGCUUCUCCAUUCCCAUCACAAACUCCCUGAAAGCUGGCCCAGAGGCAAAUACCUCACCUGGCAUCACAAAUUCACGUUUCCCUGGCCUGCAGCGUUGUUCCCAGCUCAUCCUUCUGCCUCUUUCCUCUCCUGGCUCAGCCUGGAUUUUUCCAUGCCCUCCAGCAUUCCUUGUUAGCCCCACUGCCCAUCUCUACUGGGUGGGCUCUUCCAGUUACAUCAGAGUCCACCAAGAUGUUGUGCUGCUGUCUAGAUGUGAGCAAGAACUGCAUUUCCCAUUACAGGGACAAAUUAUGGAGUUUAAUUUAAACAUAUUCUUUGUCCUGAGAUGUCCCUGUGAAACCAUUAAAAAUUGUUUACACAUUUUGAGUUGAUUUUGGCAUUUAAAGCAGUUGGCUUAUAAGAGAAACUUCUAAGUGAAAAGAUGUUUUAGAAUUAAUAUCAAAGUAUUCCAUGCCCUCAAAAUAAUGAAACAUGAUGUUUUGAUGUUGUCAAAACACUCGGGUAAUUUUUUGUUUAGAAACAAGAACGUGUUGGCAUUGACGUGCCCAGGUGAGUUGUUCCUUUUGCAGGAAAUCAACAUUCUGAUGGAACAUCCCGAGGGAGCUCAGGUAAGAGCAGCCAAACCUUGCUCACUUGUGUAAUAACAUCCCUUUCGCUCCUCAGCCUCAGGGCCUGUGCUCUAAGGGCAGUCCCAGGGGCUGGUAAUUAAUUGGCGUAGCUAAUUCAGGGAUGGAGAGGGAACAUGACAGCAAAACAGGAAGAAUCUGCAAUGUGUGUGAGGGAGGGAGUAGCCAUGGGUUGCUGAAGAACCCAAGCAGCUUAGAGGACAUCACUGUUCUGAUGAAAUGUAAUAAAAAUAAAUGGAUGUGGUAAAAACGCUGAACAGGUCAGGAGGAGGCAGAAGGUUCCACAGCUCGGACACGGUGGGGGUAAUUUUGCAUUUUGUCACAGACUGAUGGGAACGUGAGAGAAACGAAACCUCUGAGAAGCAAAGGAGAGGAAAAGGGAUGUGUGAGAUUGCAAGGACCUCAUCCCUGAUGGCAUGCACACGUGUGUGUCAGAGAGCUGGGAGAUUGGGAUCGGGAGUGCGUUGGGGUGUCCCUGUCUAUGACGGUGCAUCUCUGGCAGCUGCCUGGGCUGCUCCCACAGCUGAUCCUCGGCAUUCCUACCCCUCCACGGAGGGAUUCUGCCUCAGGAGAACGCUCCUCUCAGUGCUGGGCUGAGCUGGCUGCGGGCUGGGCACAGUCAUGAGUGUGAAGGUGACUCAGGACCAUGGUGCUGCUCUUGCACAGUGCUGGAGGCCCAGUCAUGUCACCGUGUACUGCUCCUCCAAAAUUUGUGUCAGCUGUGCUCUUUGCUGGCAGCAAACCCACGGCUUCCUUUCCAGAUCAUGGGGAAAAAUCUCCAGCAUCCCCUCAACUGGGAGCAGAGCUUUCCCUGAAGAGCCCUGAGCAGAAGGACGUGUGGGGGUGGGGGAUGAGGAGCUCAGCGUGACCCCACUGUGCUCACUGGGACCCAGAACCUCCCGAGCCCUGGGCUGAUCCCCAGCAUGGGCAGCAGGAAAGGG